rnacentral:lncRNA from 1 species
CUCAUAGAUUUCAGUUGAUGUUGGACUGGCUGCUGUGCUGUGGCCCAAGGUGAUGCAGAAAACCUCAUGUUUCAGAGGUCUUAGUCUAUGAGAAGCCAGUUCCAUUGCCCUGGUCAUGAGGUGAGUCUGAACAUCAUGGAAGAAGGGCAUUUUUCAGGAAGCCUCUAAACUCAUGGCUGCUGUGAAGCAGAAAGAAAGGACGAUGAAAUGACAAAAUAUAAUCUCCAAGGACAUGCCCCCAUUGACCUAUUACUUCCAGAUAUAU